rnacentral:rRNA from 1 species
UACAGAGGGGGCAAGCGUUGUUCGGAAUUACUGGGCGUAAAGGGCGCGUAGGCGGCCUGCUAAGUCGAACGUGAAAUCCCCGGGCUCAACCCGGGAACUGCGUCCGAGACUGGCAGGCUUGAAUCCGGGAGAGGGAUGUGGAAUUCCAGGUGUAGCGGUGAAAUGCGUAGAUAUCUGGAGGAACAUCGGUGGCGAAGGCGGCAUCCUGGACCGGUAUUGACGCUGAGGCGCGAAAGCCAGGGGAGCAAACGGGAUUAGAAACCCGCGUAGUCC